UACGUAGGGCGCAAGCGUUGUCCGGAAUUAUUGGGCGUAAAGAGCUCGUAGGCGGCCAGUUGCGUCCGCUGUGAAAUCCCGGGGCUUAACCCCGGGCGUGCAGUGGAUACGGGCUGGCUAGAGGCAGGCAGGGGAGAACGGAAUUCCCGGUGUAGCGGUGAAAUGCGCAGAUAUCGGGAGGAAUACCGGUGGUGUAGACGGCUCUCUGGACCGCCACUGACGCUGAGACACGAAAGCGUGGGUAGCAAACAGG
rnacentral:rRNA from 1 species